AGAGUUUGAUCCUGGCUCAGAAUCAACGCUGGCGGCGUGCCUAACACAUGCAAGUCGAACGAGAAAGUGGAGCAAUCCAUGAGUAAAGUGGCGCACGGGUGAGUAACACGUGACUAACCUACCUUUUUGUGGGGGAUAACCUAGGGAAACCUGGGCUAAUACCGCAUAAUACCUACGGGUCAAAGCAGCAAUGCGCAGAAAGAGGGGGUCGCGGUCGAUUAGUUAGUUGGCAGGGUAAUGGCCUACCAAGACUGUGAUCGAUAUCCGGCCUGAGAGGGCGCACGGACACACUGGAACUGAAACACGGUCCAGACUCCUACGGGAGGCAGCAGUGGGGAAUUUUGCGCAAUGGGGGAAACCCUGACGCAGCAACGCCGCGUGGAGGAUGAAGUCCCUUGGGACGUAAACUCCUUUCGAUCGGGACGAUAAUGACGGUACCGGAAGAAGAAGCCCCGGCUAACUUCGUGCCAGCAGCCGCGGUAAUACGAGGGGGGCAAGCGUUGUUCGGAAUUAUUGGGCGUAAAGGGUGCGUAGGUGGUUCGGCAAGUCUUGUGUGAAAUCUUCAGGCUCAACUUGAAGUCUGCACAAGAAACUGCCGGGCUUGAGUAUGGGAGAGGUGAGUGGAAUUUCCGGUGUAGCGGUGAAAUGCGUAGAUAUCGGAAGGAACACCUGUGGCGAAAGCGGCUCACUGGACCAUUACUGACACUGAGGCACGAAAGCUAGGGGAGCAAACAGGAUUAGAUACCCUGGUAGUCC
rnacentral:rRNA from 1 species